rnacentral:rRNA from 1 species
AUUGAACGCUGGCGGCAGGCCUAACACAUGCAAGUCGAGCGGCAGCGGGAAAGUAGCUUGCUACUUUUGCCGGCGAGCGGCGGACGGGUGAGUAAUGCCUGGGAAAUUGCCCAGUCGAGGGGGAUAACAGUUGGAAACGACUGCUAAUACCGCAUACGCCCUACGGGGGAAAGCAGGGGACCUUCGGGCCUUGCGCGUAUGGCUAUGCCCAGGUGGGAUUAGCUAGUUGGUGAGGUAAUGGCUCACCAAGGCGACGAUCCCUAGCUGGUCUGAGAGGAUGAUCAGCCACACUGGAACUGAGACACGGUCCAGACUCCUACGGGAGGCAGCAGUGGGGAAUAUUGCACAAUGGGGGAAACCCUGAUGCAGCCAUGCCGCGUGCGUGAAGAAGGCCUUCGGGUUGUAAAGCACUUUCAGCGAGGAGGAAAGGUUGUUGGCUAAUAUCCAACAGCUGUGACGUUACUCGCAGAAGAAGCACCGGCUAACUCCGUGCCAGCCGCCGCGGUAAAAC